UAACAGUCUGGUGGUCCAGUCUACAGGGUAACAGUCUGGUGGUCCAGUCUACAGGGUAACAGUCUGCUGGUCCAGUCUACAUGGUUUAGCUUAUAAAACGGUCCAGAAACACAGAAAGGCGUUAAAAUGAAUUUCCAUUUAACAGUCAAUAAGACAAGUCGUAAACAACAACAGUUUGUCUGUCAGGUGUCCUGCCGUCCCUGUUGGUUAGUAAAGUGUCCCAACGGUGGCCUGUCUAGGACAGGUCAGUUACAGACAGACAGACAGACAGGUUGUGUAGUCUAGGACAGGUCCGUUCCAGACAGACAGUCUAGGACAGGUCAACGACAGACAGGCUGUGUAGUGACAGACAGCUGAUAUGAACAGUGAUUAGAGUGUAGUAAUAACAAUAGAAAAGAUGAUUACGACAGUGACAUUAAAGACCAACAUUUAUCCCCCGUUAACCACAGUCCUGGAAUCAGAUGUUAACUCCUGUCUCUACAUAGUGGAGGUUAGACCCCCGUUAACCACAGUCCUGGAAUCAGAUGUUAACUCCUGUCUCUACAUAGUGGAGGUUAGGGACCCCCUGUUAACCACAGUCCUGGAAUCAGAUGUUAACUCCUGUCUACAUAGUGGAGGUUAGGACCCCCGUUAACCACAGUCCUGGAAUCAGAUGUUAACUCCUGUCUACAUAGUGGAG
rnacentral:lncRNA from 1 species